GACGAACGCUGUCGGCGUGCUUAACACAUGCAAGUCGAACGGAAAGGCCCUGCUUUUGUGGGGUGCUCGAGUGGCGAACGGGUGAGUAACACGUGAGUAACCUGCCCUUGACUUUGGGAUAACUUCAGGAAACUGGGGCUAAUACCGGAUAGGAGCUCCUGCUGCAUGGUGGGGGUUGGAAAGUUUCGGCGGUUGGGGGUGGACUCGCGGCUUAUCAGCUUGUUGGUGGGGUAGUGGCUUACCAAGGCUUUGACGGGUAGCCGGCCUGAGAGGGUGACCGGCCACAUUGGGACUGAGAUACGGCCAGACUCCUACGGGAGGCAGCAGUGGGGAAUAUUGCACAAUGGGCGGAAGCCUGAUGCAGCAACGCCGCGUGCGGGAUGACGGCCUUCGGGUUGUAAACCGCUUUCGCCUGUGACGAAGCGUGAGUGACGGUAAUGGGUAAAGAAGCACCGGCUAACUACGUGCCAGCAGCCGCGGUGAUACGUAGGGUGCGAGCGUUGUCCGGAUUUAUUGGGCGUAAAGGGCUCGUAGGUGGUUGAUCGCGUCGGAAGUGUAAUCUUGGGGCUUAACCCUGAGCGUGCUUUCGAUACGGGUUGACUUGAGGAAGGUAGGGGAGAAUGGAAUUCCUGGUGGAGCGGUGGAAUGCGCAGAUAUCAGGAGGAACACCAGUGGCGAAGGCGGUUCUCUGGGCCUUUCCUGACGCUGAGGAGCGAAAGCGUGGGGAGCGAACAGGCUUAGAUACCCUGGUAGUCCACGCUGUAAACGGUGGGUACUAGGUGUGGGGUCCAUUCCACGGGUUCCGUGCCGUAGCUAACGCUUUAAGUACCCCGCCUGGGGAGUACGGCCGCAAGGCUAAAACUCAAAGGAAUUGACGGGGCCCCGCACAAGCGGCGGAGCAUGCGGAUUAAUUCGAUGCAACGCGUAGAACCUUACCUGGGUUUGACAUGGAUCGGGAGUGCUCAGAGAUGGGUGUGCCUCUUUUGGGGUCGGUUCACAGGUGGUGCAUGCCUGUCGUCAGCUCGUGUCGUGAGAUGUUGGGUUAAGUCCCGCAACGAGCGCAACCCUUGUUCACUGUUGCCAGCACGUUAUGGUGGGGACUCAGUGGAGACCGCCGGGGUCAACUCGGAGGAAGGUGGGGAUGACGUCAAGUCAUCAUGCCCCUUAUGUCCAGGGCUUCACGCAUGCUACAAUGGCUGGUACAGAGAGUGGCGAGCCUGUGAGGGUGAGCGAAUCUCGGAAAGCCGGUCUCAGUUCGGAUUGGGGUCUGCAACUCGACCUCAUGAAGUCGGAGUCGCUAGUAAUCGAAGAUCAGCAACGCUGCGGUGAAUACGUUCCCGGG
rnacentral:rRNA from 1 species